rnacentral:rRNA from 1 species
CAGUAGCCACGUUAAUACGAAGGGUGCAAGCGUUACUCGGAAUUACUGGGCGUAAAGCGUGCGUAGGUGGUGGUUUAAGUCCGUUGUGAAAGCCCUGGGCUCAACCUGGGAAUUGCAGUGGAUACUGGGUCACUAGAGUGUGGUAGAGGAUAGUGGAAUUUCCGGUGUAGCAGUGAAAUGCGUAGAGAUCGGAAGGAACAUCUGUGGCGAAGGCGACUAUCUGGGCCAACACUGACACUGAGGCACGAAAGCGUGGGGAGCAAACAGGAUUAGAUACCCCCGUAGUCCCUGUCUCUUAUAC